GAAAUGCGAUAAGUAAUGUGAAUUGCAGAAUUCAGUGAAUCAUUGAAUCUUUGAACGCACCUUGCGCUCCUUGGUAUUCCUUGGAGCAUGCCUGUUUGAGUAUCAUGAAAUCUUCAAAGUAAAUCUUUUGUUAACUCAAUUGGUUUCUACUUUGGUAUUGGAGGUCUUUGCAGCUUCACACCUGCUCCUCUUUGUUCAUUAGCUGGAUCUCAGUGUUAUGCUUGGUUCCACUCGGCGUGAUAAGUUAUCUAUCGCUGAGGACACUGUAAAAGGUGGCCAAGGUAAAUGCAGAUGAACCGCUUCUAAUAGUCCAUUGACUUGGACAAUACUUUUAUGAUCUGAUCUCAAAUCAGGUAGGACUACCCGCUGAACUUAAGC
rnacentral:misc_RNA from 1 species